GUCGCCGUAGUAUAGUGGUCAGUAUCCCUGCCUGUCACGCAGGAGGCCCGGGUUCAAUUCCCGGCGGUGGCG